CCUACGGGAGGCAGCAGUGGGGGAUAUUGCACAAUGGGGGAAACUCUGAUGCAGCGACGCCGCGUGAGUGAAGAAGUAUUUCGGUAUGUAAAGCUCUAUCAGCAGGGAAGAAAAUGACAGUACCUGACCAAGAAGCCCCGGCUAACUACGUUCCAGCAGCCGCGGUAAUACGUAGGGGGCAAGCGUUAUCCGGAUUUACUGGGUGUAAAGGGAGCGUAGACGGUUGUGUAAGUCUGCAGUGAAACCCCGGGGCUCAACUCCGGGACUGCUUUGGAAACUGUACGGCUGGAGAGCAGGAGCGGUAGGCGGAAUGUCUAGUGUAGCGGUGAAAGGCGUAGAGAUUAUGAGGAACACCAGUGGCGAAGGCGGCUUACUAGACUGUAACUGACGUUGAGGCACGAAAGCGUGGGGAGCAAACAGGAUUAGAUACCCGAGUAGUC
rnacentral:rRNA from 1 species